rnacentral:rRNA from 1 species
GAUGAACGCUGGCGGCGUGCCUAAUACAUGCAAGUCGAGCGAACGGACGAGAAGCUUGCUUCUCUGAGGUUAGCGGCGGACGGGUGAGUAACACGUGGAUAACCUACCUAUAAGACUGGGAUAACUUCGGGAAACCGGAGCUAAUACCGGAUAAUAUGUUGAACCGCAUGGUUCAAAAGGGAAAGACGGUCUUGCUGUCACGUAUAGAUGGAUCCGCGCUGCAUUAGCUAGUUGGUAAGGUAACGGCGUACCAAGGCAACGAUGGAUAGCCGACCUGAGAGCGUGAUCGGCCACACUGGAACUGAGACACGGUCCAGACUCCUACGGGGGGCAGCAGUAGAGACUCUUCCGCGAUGCGCCAAAGCCUGACGGAGCAACGCCGCGUGAGUGAUGAAGGUCUUCGGAUCGUAAAACUCUGUUAUUAGGGAAGAACAUAUGUGUAAGUAACUGUGCACAUCUUGACGGUACCUAAUCAGAAAGCCACGGCUAACUACGUG